rnacentral:RNase_P_RNA from 1 species
AGUUGGUCGGUCUGUCGCUUGCGCCUCGUGUGCAUGAGGAAAGUCCGGGCAACAUAGAGCAUCCUACUUCCUAACAGAAAGCUGUCCGCGAGGGUAGAGUAACGCAGAAGAAAAUAACCGCCGCAUCCUCAAGAUUGCGGUAAGGGUGAGAAGGUGAGGUAAGAGCUUACCAGUCUUGUGGCGACACAAGAGCUGUGUGUCUUGGGAGUUGUAAGGUCAUGUAAACCGACGUUAUGAGAGCUGCUCGCUCCAUGUCGGAGGGUAGACCGCUAAAGCCUGUAUGGUGACAUGCGGCUCAGAUAAAUGAUAGACGCCUUGAUGAAGGAAGGAUGAAGAGUGAAUCAUGAAGAAUUCUUCCCUCAAUGAAAGGAACAGAACCCGGCUUACAGACCGACUGCU